rnacentral:rRNA from 1 species
CCUACGGGGGGCAGCAGUGAGGAAUAUUGGUCAAUGGCCGGAAGGCUGAACCAGCCAUGCCGCGUGAAGGUCAGUGCCCUAUGGGCGUUAAACUUCUUUUGUGCGGGAGCAAUAAUGGUCACGUGUGGCCAGACGAGAGUACCGUACGAAUAAGCAUCGGCUAACUCCGUGCCAGCAGCCGCGGUAAUACGGGGGAUGCAAGCGUUAUCCGGAGUUAUUGGGUUUAAGGGGUGCGUAGGGUGGGAGGUAAGUCAGCGGUGAAAUGCCCCCGCUCAACGGGGUGAAGUGCCAUUGAUACUGCCAUGCUGGAAUGCGGAUGCCGUGGGAGGAAUGUGUGGUGUAGCGGUGAAAUGCAUAGAUAUCACACAGAACACCGAUUGCGAAGGCAUCUCACGAAUCCGCGAUUGACGCUGAUGCACGAAAGCGUGGGUAUCAAACAGGAUUAGAUACCCGGGUAGUC